rnacentral:rRNA from 1 species
CAGCCAUGCCGCGUGUGUGAAGAAGGCCUUCGGGUUGUAAAGCACUUUCAGCGAGGAGGAAGGCGUUCAGGUUAAUAACCUUAGCGAUUGACGUUACUCGCAGAAGAAGCACCCGCUAACUCCGUGCCAGCAGGCGCGGUAAUACGGAGGGUGCAAGCGUUAAUCGGAAUUACUGGGCGUAAAGCGCACGCAGGCGGUUUGUUAAGUCAGAUGUGAAAUCCCCGGGCUCAACCUGGG